rnacentral:rRNA from 1 species
AGGGAUCAUUACUGAGUUGCCGCUCUAUAACCCUUUGUGAACAUACCUAACCGUUGCUUCGGCGGGCAGGGGAAGCCUCUCGCGGGCCUCCCCUCCCGGCGCCGGCCCCCACCACGGGGACGGGGCGCCCGCCGGAGGAAACCAAACUCUAUUUACACGACGUCUCUUCUGAGUGGCACAAGCAAAUAAUUAAAACUUUUAACAACGGAUCUCUUGGUUCUGGCAUCGAUGAAGAACGCAGCGAAAUGCGAUAAGUAAUGUGAAUUGCAGAAUUCAGUGAAUCAUCGAAUCUUUGAACGCACAUUGCGCUCGCCAGCAUUCUGGCGAGCAUGCCUGUUCGAGCGUCAUUUCAACCCUCAAGCACCGCUUGGUUUUGGGGCCCCACGGCACACGUGGGCCCUUAAAGGUAGUGGCGGACCCUCCCGGAGCCUCCUUUGCGUAGUAACUAACGUCUCGCACUGGGAUCCGGAGGGACUCUUGCCGUAAAACCCCCAAAUUUUUUACAGGUUGACCUCGGAUCAGGUAGGAAUACCCGCUGAA